rnacentral:tRNA from 1 species
GAUCAAUGUUUAUAGUGUUUUGAAAGCACUUUCUAAGUAUGAUUUGUACUUGUUGAUUU